rnacentral:rRNA from 1 species
UUAAAGUUGUUGAGGUUAAAAAGCUCGUAGUUGAACCUUGGGCCUAGCCGGCCGGUCCGCCUCACCGCGUGCACUGGCUCGGUUGGGCCUUUCUUUCUGGAGAACCCCAUGUCCUUCACUGGGUGUGGUGGGGAACCAGGACUUUUACCGUGAACAAAUCAGAUCGCUUAAAGAAGGCCUAUGCUCGAGUGUAUUAGCAUGGAAUAAUG